rnacentral:rRNA from 1 species
GAUGAACGCUGGCGGCGUGCCUAAUACAUGCAAGUCGAGCGAACAGACGAGGAGCUUGCUCCUCUGACGUUAGCGGCGGACGGGUGAGUAACACGUGGAUAACCUACCUAUAAGACUGGGAUAACUUCGGGAAACCGGAGCUAAUACCGGAUAAUAUAUUGAACCGCAUGGUUCAAUAGUGAAAGACGGUUUUGCUGUCACUUAUAGAUGGAUCCGCGCUGCAUUAGCUAGUUGGUAAGGUAACGGCUUACCAAGGCGACGAUGCGUAGCCGACCUGAGAGGGUGAUCGGCCACACUGGAACUGAGACACGGUCAAGACUCCUACGGGAGGCAGCAGUAGGGAAUCUUCCGCAAUGGGCGAAAGCCUGACGGAGCAACGCCGCGUGAGUGAUGAAGGUCUUCGGAUCGUAAAACUCUGUUAUUAGGGAAGAACAAAUGUGUAAGUAACUAUGCACGUCUUGACGGUACCUAAUCAGAAAGCCACGGCUAACUACGUG